GAAAAUUAAUAAUAAAAAUUAAUGAGUUUUAAUUUUGUAGUAUUGGAGUCGUGUUUAGAUCUAUGAGGUUUUAAAUUUAAAUUUUAAUAAGAGCUAAUUGCACCUAAAAAAAUUGAUAAUGAACUCAAUUAUCUAAUAAAUCAACAUUAUUAGAUAAAAUUAUCCUAUAAUCCUUUUCUCUCACAUGAGCAGUGGAAAGAAGAACACACACAUAUUAAUGAGAUAGAAAAGGACCAAGUGAUGGUUCACACCUAAAAAUUUCUCAUUAUUAAAGGCUCAUAAGAAUCAGUGGCCCAUUUUCUUUGAGGAGCCCAUCAGUCAAUCACAAUCAACAUUGACCUUUCAUUUAAAAACAGUCAUUGGUAUGGCCACAUGUGGUGGUGGAAAAGACAAUUCCAUCAAAUGGUACAUAAUUAUUUAAUCUUUCAGAGUCAUGCUCCUGUAUACCAUGAACAAAAAAGAACAGGCAAGAAGCUGAUAUCUGAAAUUUUAUUCCACAAGGAAAUGGUUCAUCUAUCUUAUUCUGUGUGAUGCGAUCAGAAGAACUUAUAUGCCAUUAGGGGGUGAGUUCUUUAAGAAUUUACACUAGAUUCUGAAUUCUGAUGCAUAGUAAGGCAUGAAAUUUUUACAAGCUACGACAUGACUGUUUGAUCCAAAUCUACCCUGCAGUGAUAGGUUGUAGCAUGUGAUGACAUGAUAAGCAUCCCUGCAUCUUUGGUCAGCCUUACAGAAAAAGGGAGACCAAAAUAUGAAAGAAAACAAAAUCUAUAUUGGACUUUUGAACUACAUUAAAAUUCUGCUUCUCUGAAUUUCCCAAAAAAUUAAACCACCUGCAGAGAGAGAGGAUUCAGCUUAAGUGAUCCAAUAACAUUCACUGAAAAUCAUGUAAAGUCUAAACAAUUUACCCACUGAGGUAAGACAAUGGUAGGCAAUUGAAAAUACAAGAACUUCUCCAACUUCUGAGAUAUCUUGACUAUCUUGUUUGCUUAUUUUGAGACUUUUCAUAUAUUGCUUGAAAAAGAACUGUAGGUACAUACUUCUCACCAAAGCUUGGAAAUAUAACUGUAAUGAGCUUUCCAGCGUUCUCAGGCCUUUUUCCUAAACUGAUUGCAGCAACUGCAGCAGCUCCUGAUGAAAUACCAACCAGCAAACCUUCCUCCAAGGUUAGUCUCCUAGCCAUUUCAAUGGCUUCAUCAUUUGUGACCUUGAUAACCUCAUCAAGCAAUUUCACAUCCAAGAUGCUGGGUAUAUAACCUACACCAAGAUGUCGUUAGCCAGGAACAGUGAAGAGAGACCAAUUUCUUCUCUAAGAAAAUAAAUUAAAAAAUUGUAAUAAGAUUGAAGACAGAUACAAAGAUUUCCACCUGGGUUUUCUCCUGAGAUAACACUCCUUUCAGCAGGCUCCACACCAACCACCUUAAUUUCUUUGUUCAUCAUUUUCAAGAAACGUCCAGUGCCUGUUAUAGUACCACCAGUUCCCAUUCCAGCAACAAGAAUGUCAACAUUUCCUAAAGUAUCCUCCCAUAUUUCAGGUCCUGUAGUUUCAAAGUGGACCUUUGUAUUAGCAACAUUCUCAAACUGUUGAAACAAGUAUGCAUUUGGUGUCCUGAGAACAAUUUCUUCAGCCUUAUCAACGGCGCCUUUUAGGCCUUUAUCUGGGUCAGUCAAAACAAUGUCUGCUCCAAAUGCACGUAAAAGGACCCUUCUUUCAAGACCUAUGGAUGCAGGCAUGGUGACAAUAAGUUUGUAUCCUUUAGCUGCCGCAACAAAAGCAAUACCAAGUCCUGUAUUUCCACUUGUUGGUUCAACUAAUAUGCUCUUCCCCGGAGAAAUCUCUCCACUUUCUUCAGCUUCAGAUAUCAUACUGUAACCAAUCCUAUCUUUGACACUCCGACAAGGUUCCAUGGAUUCAAGUUUUGCAGCAAUAUUUGACACACAGCCCUCUGUAACUUUGUUGAGAUAUAUCAUUGGUGUUCUUCCAAUCAACUGGGUGACGUCCUCUGCUAUGUCGACGGUGUCAAUUUCUUCUUCUUCUUCUUCCUCCUGCUCAUCCUCCUCUGCGGUGGUUGUCCGGAAAAGGGAAGGAGCCUUGGCCUUAGCAUAGAUUACAAUUGAAGCUUCUCUUUUUAUAGCAAAAGACCCAUUAGCGGAAGUAAAGGUGAAAGUUUUGAAAGGUGCAAAACUAGACCGAGGGGAAACAAUGGAGGGAAAAGGAGGAAGGAGGAGAAAAAAAGAACAAAGGGCCAUGGAGGCUGGACAGAGGUUUUUGAGAGGUUUAUA
rnacentral:misc_RNA from 1 species